AACGCGAAGAACCUUACCUGGGCUCGAACGGCUCACGAACGUCCUUGGAAACAGGGAUUUCCCGCAAGGGACGGGAGUCGAGGUGCUGCAUGGCUGUCGUCAGCUCGUGUCGUGAGAUGUUGGGUUAAGUCCCGCAACGAGCGCAACCCUUGUCCUGUGUUACCAUGCCGAAAGGCGGCACUCGCAGGAGACCGCCAGCGAUAAGCUGGAGGAAGGUGGGGAUGACGUCAAGUCCUCAUGGCCUUUAUGUCCAGGGCUACACACGUGCUACAAUGGGCGGUACAAAGCGCUGCUAAGCCGCAAGGUGGAGCCAAUCGCAAAAAGCCGCUCUCAGUUCGGAUUGCAGGCUGCAACUCGCCUGCAUGAAGCUGGAAUCGCUAGUAAUGCUAUAUCAGAACGAUAGCGUGAAUACGUUCCCGGGCCUUGUACACACCGCGUGUCU
rnacentral:rRNA from 1 species